ACGAAGCCAAAUCAAGCAUAGCGGUAUCCUGAGUAACGCGGGACACGAGGAAUCCUGCGCGAAUCUGCCGGGACCAUCCGGUAAGGCUAAAUACUCCCGUGAGACCGAUAGUGAACGAGUACUGUGAAGGAAAGGUGAAAAGCACUCCGAUGAGGAGAGUGAAAUAGUUCCUGAAACCAUGCGCCUACAAGCGGUCGGAGCCGCGUAAGCGGUGACGGCGUGCCUUUUGCAUAAUGAACCUACGAGUUACCAUGUCUGGCAAGGAUAAGCGUCAUGAGACGCGCAUCCGCAGUGAAAGCGAGCCUGAAAAGGGCGUCGAGUCAGAUGGGGUAGACGCGAAACCAAGUGAUCUACACUUGCCCAGGUUGAAGUCCGGGUAACACCGGAUGGAGGACCGCACGGAUAAGCGUUGAAAAGCUUCCCGAUGAGGUGAGUGUAGGAGUGAAAGGCCAAUCAAACUUGGAGAUAGCUCGUACUCCCCGAAAGGCAUUUAGGUGCCGCGUC
rnacentral:rRNA from 1 species